rnacentral:rRNA from 1 species
UGCAGUCGAACGCUGAAGCCUGGUGCUUGCACUGGGUGGAUGAGUGGCGAACGGGUGAGUAACACGUGAGUAACCUGCCCCUGACUCUGGGAUAAGCCUGGGAAACUGGGUCUAAUACUGGAUAUGACUGAUCAUCGCAUGGUGGUUGGUGGAAAGAGUUUUUGGUUGGGGAUGGACUCGCGGCCUAUCAGCUUGUUGGUGAGGUAGUGGCUCACCAAGGCGACGACGGGUAGCCGGCCUGAGAGGGUGACCGGCCACACUGGGACUGAGACACGGCCCAGACUCCUACGGGAGGCAGCAGUGGGGAAUAUUGCACAAUGGGCGCAAGCCUGAUGCAGCGACGCCGCGUGAGGGAUGACGGCCUUCGGGUUGUAAACCUCUUUCAGUUAGGAAGAAGCCUUUCGGGGUGACGGUACUAGCAGAAGAAGCGCCGGCUAACUAC